rnacentral:rRNA from 1 species
UACGAGGGGGGCAAGCGUUGUUCGGAAUUAUUGGGCGUACAGGGUGCGUCGGCGGUUUUGCAAGACAGAUGUGAAAUCCCCGGGCUCAACCUGGGAACUGCAUUUGUGACUGCAUGGCUAGAGUACGGUAGAGGGGGAUGGAAUUCCGCGUGUAGCAGUGAAAUGCGUAGAUAUGCGGAGGAACACCGAUGGCGAAGGCAAUCCCCUGGACCUGUACUGACGCUCAUGCACGAAAGCGUGGGGAGCAAACAGG